GUGAAGGUUAAAAGCGAAAAUUAAAACGUGGAGAAGAAGAGCGGUUGGUUAAACUCGUGGAAAUAUUUUGUCAAUUAACAGGAAUGUUAUUAUUAAACGCCGAGGCUUAAGUACUAAAGUUAUGGAUGGGUGUAUUUUCAGUGAACAGAUAAUCUGUAAUAUUAUGAAUAUAGAUUGAAAAGAGAAUGUUAAAACAACAGGAAUAAAUGUCACUUUUGUUAACUCGUCUGUGGAGAAAUGAUAUUUCACGGAAGACUUUUAGCUUCAAGGUACGAGACGAAAUAGAAAUCUGGAAAGGAAAGCAAUAACCAGAGCUAUGACAUCGGACAGCAUGUGGAAGGAGUCCGCUACCAGUGCCAUGGAAUUGGUUACAUACCCAACAAUAAUUUCCACAAAGAAAAAACUUGUGGUGAGCCCAAACAUGCUAAUAAGACGGCAUUUCUUCCCAGUGUAUCUUCCCAUUUUCACUUGAGUGUAGCUUUUAUUAGUAAUAAGCAAAAAAUUUGUUUCUAUGUCAAAUGUAAUUAAAUUAAACACACACACAUACACAGUUAUAAAUCAAGUUAUCCUAAAAACUGUUACACUUUUUAACCAACUUGUUUCUAUACAUUGCCUAAACGCCUGUAGGUAAAGCAAUGCUAACAA